ACGGGUGAGUAACGCGUAUCCAACCUUCCCUAUAGUAGAGGAUAGCCCGGCGAAAGUCGGAUUAAUACUCGUAUGUUAUUCAAUGCGGACAUCUAAGUUGAAUCAAAGGUUUACCGCUAUAGGAUGGGGAUGCGUCUGAUUAGGUUGUUGGCGGGGUAACGGCCCACCAAGCCUUCGAUCAGUAGGGGUUCUGAGAGGAAGGUCCCCCACAUUGGAACUGAGACACGGUCCAAACUCCUACGGGAGGCAGCAGUGAGGAAUAUUGGUCAAUGGGGCGAGAGCCUGAACCAGCCAAGUGGCGUGCAGGAAGACGGCCCUAUGGGUUGUAAACUGCUUUUAUACAGGGAUAAAGUGUGCCACGUGUGGCGUUUUGUAGGUACUGUAUGAAUAAGGACCGGCUAAUUCCGUGCCAGCAGCUGC
rnacentral:rRNA from 1 species